rnacentral:tmRNA from 1 species
GGGGCUGUCACGGUUUCGACUGUGAGAAAAAGGGAAGGUAUAAGCAUACCGGAGCGCCUCGCUUCGUCAACAAAGGGGAAAUUAAAUUUAAAUGCUGAAAAUAACAAUUUCGCAUUCGCUGCUUAAUUAACGCAGCUGUCCGACCUUUCUUUUCCCGUCGGGAAUGGCUCGGGCAUCAUUAAGGCGGGGGACGACCUUUACCUAUCGAAAACGGGGUUUGGGCUGAUUCUUUGUUUUCAAUGGCGGCUCUGAUUUGCGCCUUACCAUAGCGGCCGCAGGAGAUCAAGUUAAGGCUAAGUAUGUAGAAGACUUUUCGGUUUUCCCGCAACACGAGGGUUCAACUCCCUCCAGCUCCACCA